CUCCGCUUCCACGGUCUCCGGCUGCUGGCACAGGUCCUGGAACUGAGCCUGGGACCGAAUCUGAUUCACAAGGAGAGCAAAAAAAGAGACUGGCUGAGUUUUCGGAUCGAAACACCAGCUGGGCGUAGCGCUCGCCUGCACGGAGAGAAGCAGAUGGCGUCAGGCUACGAGAGCAAGAUGACCGGCGGUGAACCAUGUGAUUCAAGGGAUGGUUAGCAAACAUCAAAAACCAGGUGGUUCAGGAUUUCUUUACCUGGAGCAUCACAGAGGAAAGUGUCCAGAGAAAAGUCAGCAGCCAGCAUCCUCUUAAUAC